AACGAACGCUGGCGGCAUGCCUAACACAUGCAAGUCGAACGAGACCUUUGGGUCUAGUUGCUCACGGGUGCGUAACGCGUGGGAACCUGCCCUUAGGUUCGGAAUAACUCCCCGAAAGGGGUGCUAAUACCGGAUAAUGUCUUCGGACCAAAGAUUUAUCGCCUUUGGAUGGGCCCGCGUUGGAUUAGCUAGUUGGUAGGGUAAAAGCCUACCAAGGCGACGAUCCAUAGCUGGUCUGAGAGGAUGAUCAGCCACACUGGGACUGAGACACGGCCCAGACUCCUACGGGAGGCAGCAGUGGGGAAUAUUGGACAAUGGGCGAAAGACUGAUCCAGCAAUGCCGCGUGAGUGAUGAAGGCCUUAGGGUUGUAAAGCUCUUUUAACCGGGAUGAUAAUGACAGUACCGGGAGAAUAAGCUCCGGCUAACUCCGUG
rnacentral:rRNA from 1 species